rnacentral:tRNA from 1 species
GAGGGUAUAGCUCAGUGGUAGAGCACGUGCCUAGCAUGCAUGAGGUCCUGGGUUCAAUCCCCAGUGCCUCCA